UACGUAGGGUGCGAGCGUUAUCCGGAAUUAUUGGGCGUAAAGAGCUCGUAGGCGGUUUGUCGCGUCUGUCGUGAAAGUCCGGGGCUUAACCCCGGAUCUGCGGUGGGUACGGGCAGACUAGAGUGCAGUAGGGGAGACUGGAAUUCCUGGUGUAGCGGUGGAAUGCGCAGAUAUCAGGAGGAACACCGAUGGCGAAGGCAGGUCUCUGGGCUGUAACUGACGCUGAGGAGCGAAAGCAUGGGGAGCGAACAGGAUUAGAUACCCCGGUAGUCC
rnacentral:rRNA from 1 species